rnacentral:rRNA from 1 species
GAACCUGAUGCAUCGAUGCCGCGUGAGUGAAGAAGGCUUUGGGUUGUAAAGCUCUUUUGUAGGGGAAGAUAAUGACUGUACCCUAAGAAUAAGGUCCGGCUAACUUCGUGCCAGCAGCCGCGGUAAUACGAAGGGACCUAGCGUAGUUCGGAAUUACUGGGCGUAAAGCGCGCGUAGGCCGUUGAGUUAGUUAAUUGUGAAAUCCCAAAGCUUAACUUUGGAACUGCAAUUAAAACUGCUCGACUAGAGUUUGAUAGAGGAAAGCGGAAUACAUAGUGUAGAGGUGAAAUUCGUAGAUAUUAUGUAGAACACCAGUUGCGAAGGCGGCUUUCUGGAUCAACACUGACGCUGAGGCGCGAAAGUAUGGGUAGCAAAGAGGAUUAGAUACCCUCGUAGUCCAUACCAUAAACGAUGAUUGCUAGAUGUUGGAAAUUUAUUUUCAGUAUCGCAGCUAACGCAUUAAGCAAUCCGCCUGGGGAGUACGAACGCAAGGUUAAAACUCAAAUGAAUUGACGGGGACCCGCACAAGCGGUGGAGCAUGUGGUUUAAUUCGAAGAUACGCGCAGAACCUUUACAACCCUUGACUUGUCUGUCGCGAGUUUAG